GUGGGGAUGUGGCUCAAGUGGUAAUGCGCUCGCCUGGUAUGCGCGGGGCCCUGGGUUCGAUCCUCAGCACCACA
rnacentral:tRNA from 1 species